rnacentral:misc_RNA from 1 species
GCAGGAACUUCAACUUAUUCUCCAUAAUCUGAUUGCUGAAGAUAUGGUAGUAAAUGAAGCUUUUCAAAUGUCUGCAAUGAUCGAGAAGUUGCCUCCUUCGUGGAAUAAUUUCAAGAAUUAUCUAAAGCACAAGCGUAAAGAAAUGAAGCUUGAAGAUCUUGUGAUUCGUCUCAAGAUUGAGGGAGAUAACAGAAAUGCCGAAAAGA